AUCUGUUGGGUUUUGAGCAUUCUAACACUUCCUAAGUGUACAUGCAACCCUAAUAACCUUGGAUCUAUGUUUUCUCUAUUAUACAUGCAAAUAAGAACUUCCAAGGUAUUAUCCUAAUCUAGCAUACAAAACAAUAACUAUAGCAAGAUAGAAUACAUACCUCUUUGGUGUAGAAUGUCUUCAUGAAGCUUGAGUGCCUAGUGCCCCAAGUGUGACACCUCAAAUGGAAUCACAAUCAUCAAAACACUUAGAAUAACUUGAGAGAAUUCUACACUCUUCAAAAUCGGCUAGCCCUUUCUUCACUAUCUCUAGUGGCCGAUUUUUCCUCAAUAAUAAGAUGCUUAUAUAGUUACACAAUUAGGGUAAACUCUUAAUUGUCAUGGCUUUCCAUUUCCUUGGAUCCAUGGGUACAAAUACACCAUGGAGCAUCCAUGGACCAUCCUAUGGGUUUUAGCCCAACUUGAUUAUCCAUGGACAUUAGCCCACUAUAUAAGUAUGGAUGAUUUACACAAUCAACCCAUAUAUUUAAUUAGUCUUCUUUUUGAUCACUUAAUUAAUCCUAGAUUAAUUCUUGAUCAAUACUAAUUAAAUAAUCUCAUUAUUCUUAUUAUUAAUAUACUAGAACUUAUAAUAUAUUAAUAACCAUAAGUGUCUUAUUUCUCUCAUUCAAGUGCAUGAUGGUAUGCAACCCAAAUGGACCAUGCCGGGUCGGGUCAAGUCUUACCAAAUAUAGUUAUGGACUUAGACAUUAAUCCAACAGUCUCCCACUUGGAUAAGUCUAAAACUAUUAUUGCGUAUGACUUCAGGAACCAACCGGCAAUCGUAGCUCUCAAAAGCUUCUGUCGAACUCUGACCUUGUAGAUGAACUCUGACCUUUGUCAGUGACUUGUCCAUUAGAUAAGGGAUCAUAUAUUCCUCCAUUCUAGAUAUCAUAUGGACUGAGACAUGGAUUAUAAUCAUUCUCUCUGUCCAUUUGUUGUUUCCCGAUUUCCGAUUUAUGACGACUGACUAAUUGAACAAAUCAAAUCAGUCCUGGCCCGGCCGAGCACUUCCAUUUGUCAUCAUCAAAUCAUCGAGGGGCCCACAGAUAUCGCUUUUAUCCCGAAGGUAAAAGGAACGGAUAAACUUCGACUCAUAUGGCUUGUUCUACUACUUGUUGAAUCAUACACAAAGGCACGUUUUAUAGCACCGAGUUACCAAAUGCGUUUUCGUGCUAUCAAUGUACUAUCAACUCAUAGUAACAACUCAUAUCUCUAGGUUUGAAGAAUAUAAGAUAUUAUCGUCUCAUGAUCACUCGUGAUAAAAUCCAUGAAGUGAUUCCAAUGAGCGCGGGUUGAAUCCAAUACUCAGAACUUAUGAGCACUCAUGAUUGUUGUAGCCUUGUCCAACACCUUAGACCUCUACAACCCAUCAUGACAGUCUUAAUUCAUAUCUACUUCCAACAUAUGACCGACUGUGGAUGGUUUGAAUAACUUAGUCAUUCCGGAAGAAUAACCCAGUUUAUUCGGGAAGUCAAAACAUGCAAAGUGAAACACAAUAAUAAUUGAAUCCAAUAUGGUAUCAACCCUUUGAACAUAAAUAAAACACCUUUUAUUUAUCACCAUAUGAUUACACAUUAUUCAUUGUAUACUGUUUCAGCUAUCAACUUUAUUCUUGAAUUUAAAACAAUAGUUGUCCCAUGCUCCAAGCAUGUACACUAUGUUUUCUUAAACACUAGUCAUGCCACACACCAAGUAUGCAUACUAUGUUUGUCUAUGAUCUUUACUUUGUGAACUAGAUCAAUUGAACAUAACUUCAAUGAUUCUCUUUUCACACUCCCAAAUCCUUACUGCAAAUGCAAGAAUUCCAAAUUCAUGCCAUUUACUGAAAUCUGUUAGAUUCUAAACUUAUAUGCAUUGAUCCUCUUGUAAUGAUUAUGCACAAAGUCAGAAAGACUUGACAACAAUCAUUACAGAGUAUUCCAAAGGAGAUCAGCUCCUUGGAAACAUCCUUCUUGCAUUAAGUUUCCUAAUCUUAAACAGAUUGAAAAUUCUAACUUUGAAACAUUUCCAGAUUCCAUUUUGACUAUCACUUCUGAACAAGAGUUGCCUCCUUACAGAUUAUGUCAAUAUGGUCCUUCCAGAAUUAUCACUAUACUUCCAACUGUCCUUGAGCAACCAAUCUUUGGUAAACCUUAGAUUGUCCUCGACAAUUGUUUAAUCCUUUUAGUCAUAUCCAGUUCUAAACCUUUUCCCUUCUUAAUGCCCCAGGCAUUUGGAAAAUUUUAGAACGGAUGAAUAUAGCACAUGUAAUCGAUCCUAUAUCCGAAGCAUAUGGGACACGAUUCAUGAUGUCUUACAUAAAGACUAAACCAGUCUUUUGCUAUAAUAUUUCCAUUUCAAUUUGCCAAGUUCUCAUAAUUCAGAUUAUGAAAAGGGAUGCCGUAAUCAUAAUCGAAUUUUAGAACGCAAAUAAUGGACCCAUAUACAGAAUUUCCUUAUGUUGAGCCAUUCCAACAUGAAAUUCAUAUAUAUCCUUGACUAAAUGAUUAAAACCUCACGAUCUAAGCUUAUAGAUUUGAGAUGAAGUAUAAUUUCCUCUCCCUUAAUUAUAGCAAAACAACUUUUUCCCAAUUGAAACUUUUGUUUUCUAUAAUUAACAUUGCUAACUUGCAAUACUUAUCAUAAUUAUCAUGCUCCCACUAACAUGAUGAUUAUUAGCAUAACACUUAUGCUCCCACUAGCUUUGACAUGUACUCAGAAAUCAGCUGGACUUCUAGAAAUCAAUACUUCAUUGACUUUCUUACCAAAGUUCAGAUUUCUGAUGCUAGAUUGUUUUGAUAAAGCUGUAUCAAAAUCAUACACCUUCCCUUAGAUAGCACACUUGUGUAUCUAAACAAUUAUGAAGAGGGAUGCCGUAAUCAUAAUGUUUAGACCUUUUUGCCACUUCUCACAAGUCCAAAUUAGUGUGCCGGUUAACCACACGCGCUCCACUAACGACUUUGAGAAUGCAAAUAUCACAAUUGCUAUCUAGCUAAAAUCUACUUAGUGAAAGUGUUUCCUCACCAUCAUUUUCAUGAAUCGGAGAGAAACCUUAUGACACUUAGAUUUAAUGGUGUAUGUGUUCUUAUCCAUGUGAAUUGUCAAAACCAUAGUCACAAGACAAGGAUAAUGACAAAUCCAAACUCAUAUGGACUGAACUCAAUCUUAAUUUCUUGCCACCUGGCAGCUCAAGGGCCUACCAUUGCUUCCAAGUUGUUGUGCAACAAAUUGAGAACUCUAAGAACUCAUAUGCAAAACCAACUUUAACUGGAAUGGGCACAGAAUAUGUCAACACGAUAGGUUAUGAACCUCAAGUUGUGUGCUAGUGAAGAACUUUAGGUUUUAUUCUUGAUUAGUUCUUGAGACUUUCAAGACUUUUAAGACUCCCACUGACCUCUUGACCUAUAAGACUCCCUUGUCAAAUAUCCAAGAGAUAGUGUGGAUUCUAAUCAAGACAAACACUUCACACAAUUGGCCUAAGUUGGUCUUUGUUUUAUCCAAAACAUCACAACUUACCAAUUUCAAAUGUACAAGAGUAGAAAACUUUUACUCUUACAUUUGACAAGUGUUUUAAACCUUCUUUAAGACAUGUCACUCAAGUUACAAUCUUGGAGUAUGACUCUAAGACUUGUAUUGGAACGAAGUAUGACUCAUCUUCUUGAUUUAACCAUUUCAACAAUUCAAGUUCCUCUUCUUAGUCAUAAGAAUGCACUAAGAUUUCCUUAGAGAACUAAUUUUGAUAUGGUUUCUUAAUCAUUAAGAUGAUCACAAAACUGAUACUAAAGUACUCUCCCAUCUUUUCAGAUUUGAGAAACUUUUAUCCUUCUGCCUAAUUUGAUUCUUCUUAUUCGCUCUGCCAUACAUUGGAACCUUUUCCAAUGUCUCAGAGUUACACUUAAGCUUGUAAGUAUAAUCAUAUUUACUGAGCUUUAGUAAACUAUGACGAAUAGUCUUAUCAAUCUUUUGUGGUGGACUUAAUCAGUGCACAAGAAUGUGUACUCGAUCCCUUAGUCCUUUACUUGACUCACACAUCCAUGUGGCCGAGUAAUUAGUCUUAAUUUUCCAAAACUUGAAAGUUCUCAUUCAUCAUGCUAUACAACUUGCAUGAUUCCAAGUUCCGGUCCAAUUGAAACUUGGGUGAUGAGAAUCUUUCCUUAUUUGGUAAAUCUAGACAUUACCACAAAUGAAAGAAUCAAUUUCAUAUUUCCACUCUUGCUAUUAAUGGAAUCAUAUAAGCAACAAUUUUUCCUCAAAUGCCAUUGUAAGGAUAUUUUAAAAUAAAUAAAAUCAAAAAUUUUCUUUUAUUUUAAAACUUUGCGGAAAAACUUAUCCUUACAAUCCAUAUGAAAACUUGUUGUUAUCUAUUCCUAAGCAAUAUCUCAUAACUCCUAAGAAGUUGCUCAAGAAUCCGAUCUUCAAACUAUGCGAUAGAAAUCCAUCUACGCCAUCAGAUUCAGCAUAUUCUUUCUUUAAGUUUCUUCACUUUUCUUUGAUUCUUAAAACAUCACCAUGUGACCCAGUCACAUCAUGUAUCAGGAAUCUCAGAAUAGAAACUUAACAGAGUUAGAUAGUGGACUUUACCUGAAGUAGAGUCAAACUUAUUGACUUUAACAUCCUUAGGUAAAUUUGGCAGCUUCGCAACCAAUGCCCCUUCCUUUGGCAAUAUAAACAUAUGGACCCUUUGAUAAUGGUACACGGGACUAUCACAGACUUAGCUUUUCUCUUUACCAUUUGGUCAACCGAGUUGACUAUGGCCGAUCCCUUUCCAUUGGGAAGAGAAUGCUUUACUGGAUAUCCAAUGUCAUCAUUGUCAAUGUCCAUAAAGUUUUAGGAAGUUGAUCUUAGCAAAUAGAUAAGAUCAUUAAGGGUCUUGUCAUAGUCUGUUUCAUAGGUGUCCCAAAGGAACUCACUAUGUGACUUAGAAAGUGAUUGAACCACCAACUUUCUCAAGACUUUGACACCCAACUCUCCCGGCUUGUCAAUAUGUGACUACAUCUCCAAGAUGUGAUCACACCUAGACCUUGCCUUGCCAAUAGGGCUUGAGUGACCUUAAACUUUUCAAGAACUUGUGGGUUAGGGAGAAUAAUUGGAGGAGGUGAAAGAAGUAUGAUUUCCAAAGGACAUCAUCUUCAUUUAGGAAACCUUGUUUCACUAGAUUUGGGAAGAUCAUAGGUGUCUAUUACAGACAUCUUUUGGGAGAUAUUCAAGAUAGUUGAUUUAAAGUCCUUAAUAUGACACCCAAUAUGAAAUAUUAAGGCUAGGACCCAACAAACUAUUUUAUAACUUAGAAGAGGUAUGCCGUAAUCCAAGCUAUAAAAUAUUUGAAGGUAGGUGAAUGACGAUUCACCAAUUUCCACCAAGAUAAACGAAAUGUAUUAUUAGGUUUUAAUUGGUUUUGAAACUCCUAGAUCUUUGAGAUUCAUUGAACUGUUCAAAGGCAUGUUUCAAUCUCGAGUGUGCCCUUCAGGUUUUGUGACUGGGAUGCCGAGGAUCACAAAACAAGGUGUGAAGUAACCAUGCAAAUCACUUGGUACCCUUAAUAAAUUACCCCUCAAUCGAUGUGCCGGUUAACCACACACGCUCCAUCGAUACUAUGAUAAAUAUUAAGUCACCCUUUACCUACCUUGUUAAGUCCAAGUUAGUGUGCCGGUUAACCACACACGCUCCACUAACGACUUAGACAAAGUGUAAAGUGUAAUUUCAUGGAUUAGCACCUUAUUCACAUUUUUCCUAAGUAACUAAGAUUGGGUAUUAUUAAGAGUUUAGUUACUUAGUAUUAUCAUUAAUACUUUUAAUGAAGGGAGAAUUCUAGUCCUGUCAAACCCGUUCGGCUAACGACCCUCCACCAGUCAAGCAAGCGGUGGGUGAGAGUGGACACCCAUUAAGUUGCCAUUUUAUAGGCAACAACCUUAUACCCACCUUAUAGACCGGCUUCGUGAAUGAGGCGUACUAGCGGUAAGACUGACUUUACUCUUAUACAUAUAUAUAUUAUUAACUUAUAAUAUUAUAAAGUAUAAGGGUUGAAUUUUAACUUUUAAAAUUCUAAGGGCUAACUUGGAAUUAAAGUAUUCAUAAGUGAAAACUUUACAAAUUCCAAAACUUGAGGGCAAGUUUUGAAACUAUUCAAAACUAAUUAAUUCCAUAACUUAUGUGUUUAAAGUAGUUUUAAUCCAAAAACUCUUCAAGUUCCAUAACUUGAGGACAAGUUAUGGAAGACUUUAAACUAAUAAAAGAAUUAACUUUUCUUUAUUUUAUAACUUAUGGAAUUAAUUAAGGUUACACUUUUUUUUUUUUUAUUUUAUUUUAUUAAAUGAAGAGACUCUUGGUCCUCCAUAACUUGAGGACAAGUUAUGGAGUCAUAAAACCAUUUAAUUAGAACUAGACUCUUCAUUUUUGUAACCUUUGCCAAUUUUUAUGAGUUUUAUGAUUCUUAAAUGUGACUUUUCAUAUAACUUGAGGACAAGUUACAAAAACACAUUUUAGAAUCAAUUCUUAGAUUAAUUUGGAUUAAAACCAACUAUCACAUAAUUUUAUUCAUUAAUCUAAAUUCACUCAUAAAACAAGGUAACACAAAAAACUUUUGGUGAUCCAUAACUUAUUCUUAAGUUAUGGAAUCCUUUAAAACAUUAACACCAAAUUUUGUAACUCCAAAAAAACUUUGAAUCAAUUUUUUUUUUAAAACCUUUUCAUAUCCAUAACUUAUGGAGGUUUCAAAAAAUAAAACUCUUUAGAUCAAACUUUUAAAACUAAUAAAAUAAUCAUAUUAUUUUAUCUUUUAUUAAAUUUGACCUAAUUCAACUCAUAAAGCAAAUUAUUCAAAUUUUACAAAUAAUUAGUUUUUCACAAGAACAAGUAAUUAUCUUAAAAUUUGACAAACUUCAUGUUUUUUUUUUUUUUUUUUUUCAACUUUGAAAAUAAAAUAUUUGCAUCAAUAUAACAGAAAACAACCCGUGGCUCUGAUACCACUGUUGGGUUUUGAGCAUUCUAACACUUCCUAAGUGUACAUGCAACCCUAAAUACCUUGGAUCUAUGUUUUCUCUAUUAUACAUGCAAAUAAGAACUUCCAAGGUAUUAUCCUAAUCUAGCAUACAAAACAAUAAUGUAACAAGAUAGAAUACAUACCUCUUGAUGUAGAAAGUCUUCAUGAAGCUUGAGUGCUUAGUGCCCCAAGUGUGACACCUCAAAUGGAAUCACAAUCAUCAAAACACUUAGAAUGACUUGAGAGAAUUCUACACUCACCAAAAUCGGCUAGCCCUUUCUUGAAUACUACUAGUGGCCGAUUUUUCCUCAAUAAUAAGAUGCUUAUAUAGUUACACAAUUAGGGUAAACUCUUAAUUGUCAUGGCUUUCCAUUUCCUUGGAUCCAUGGGUACAAAUACACCAUGGAGCAUCCAUGGACCAUCCUAUGGGUUUUAGCCCAACUUGAUUAUCCAUGGAGCAUUAGCCCACUAUACAAGUAUGGAUGAUUUACACAAUCAACCCAUAUAUUUAAUUAGUCUUCUUUUUGAUCACUUAAUUAAUCCUAGAUUAAUUCUUGAUCAAUACUAAUUAAAUAAUCUUAUUAUUCUUAUUAUUAAUAUACUAGAACUUAUAAUAUAUUAAUAACCAUAAGUGUCUUAUUUCUCUCAUUCUAGUGCAUGAUGGUAUGCAACCCAAAUGGACCAUGCCGGGUCGGGUCAAGUCUUACCAAAUAUAGUUAUGGACUUAGACAUUAAUCCAACACUAUCAUCUCAGUUGCAGGAGCUGUUGGGUAAGCAGUUUAUUCGUCCGAGUAGUUCACCCUGGGGAGGACCGAUCCUUUUUGUCAGGAAGAAGG
rnacentral:lncRNA from 1 species